GUCUGCCCCAUCGGCCGCAAGGUCCGGGGUGAUGGUGAAACGGCGGGGUAAAAGCCCACCGCAGGUCUGGCAACAGAACUGGCACGGCAAGCCCCACCCGGAGCAAUGCCGAAUAGGGGCCUCGCGUGGGCUGGUCCGCUUUGCGGAUACCGCCACAGGGACGCAUCAGCCCAGAGGCCCGGGUUGGCAGCUAGAUCCCGUCGGCAACGGCGGGGGCAGAGGAAUGGCCAUCGAAGGGGUGAAAGCCCUGGAACAAAAUCCGGCUUACAGGCCAUCCGCGCAA
rnacentral:RNase_P_RNA from 1 species